UGGGGAAUAUUGCACAAUGGAGGGAACUCUGAUGCAGCGACGCCGCGUGAACGAAGAAGGCUUUCGAGUCGUAAAGUUCUUUUGUAUGGGAAGAUAAUGACGGUACCAUAAGAAAAAGCCCCGGCUAACUACGUGCCAGCAGCCGCGGUAAUACGUAGGGGGCUAGCGUUGUCCGGAAUCACUGGGCGUAAAGGGUUCGCAGGCGGAAAUGCAAGUCAGGUGUAAAAGGCAGUAGCUUAACUACUGUAAGCAUUUGAAACUGCAUAUCUUGAGAAGAGUAGAGGUAAGUGGAAUUUUUAGUGUAGCGGUGAAAUGCGUAGAUAUUAAAAAGAAUACCGGUGGCGAAGGCGACUUACUGGGCUCAUUCUGACGCUGAGGAACGAAAGCGUGGGUAGCAAACAGG
rnacentral:rRNA from 1 species